UACAGAGGGUGCAAGCGUUAAUCGGAAUUACUGGGCGUAAAGGGUGCGUAGGUGGUUGAAUAAGUUAGAUGUGAAAGCCCUAGGCUUAACCAAGGAAUAGCGUCUAAUACUGUGCGACUAGAGUACUGUAGAGGGGAGUGGAAUUUCCGGUGUAGCGGUGAAAUGCGUAGAUAUCGGAAGGAACACCAGUGGCGAAGGCGGCUCUCUGGACAGAUACUGACACUGAGGCACGAAAGCGUGGGGAGCAAACAGG
rnacentral:rRNA from 1 species